UUACAGGGGCGACGUCUUGACUUUGACUACAAAAAGAAGAAGCAAGCAAAAGAUUGGUGGGUUGGGUAAGAUCAAGACCAACACAAUCAUCAAGGAGCUCUCCAAACCCUGGAUGCUGGAUGUGGAAGCAGCAUGGAGACCACAGAGAAGUUUCCUUGGAAGAUCAGCAAGGAAGAAUUCACCAUGCUCAAAGAGAAGGCUUGACCUACUCAUCCCUCACCUCA